GAUGAAGAACGUAGCGAAAUGCGAUACUUGGUGUGAAUUGCAGAAUCCCGUGAACCAUCGAGUCUUUGAACGCAAGUUGCGCCCGAAGCCAUUAGGCCGAGGGCACGCCUGCCUGGGCGUCACACGUCGUUGCCCCCCCCAUCUACUCCUUCGGGAUUGCGGGGGGCGGAUGAUGGCCUCCCGUGCGCCUCGCCGCGCGGUUGGCAUAAAUGCCAAGUCCUCGGCGACGCACGCCACGACAAUCGGUGGUUGCGAAACCUCGGUUGCCCGUCGUGUGCGGUCGUCGCGCAUCGAGGGCUCGAAAAAAUUGCCGAGCUCCGGCUCGGCUUUCAACGCGACCCCAGGUCAGGCGGGGUUACCCGCUGAAUUUAAGCAUAUCAAUAAGCGGAGGA
rnacentral:misc_RNA from 1 species